rnacentral:rRNA from 2 species
ACCGUGUACGUACAAGCAGUGGGAGCACCUUCGGGUGUGACUGCGUACCUUUUGUAUAAUGGGUCAGCGACUUAUAUUCUGUAGCAAGGUUAACCGUAUAGGGGAGCCGCAGGGAAACCGAGUCUUAACUGGGCGUUAAGUUGCAGGGUAUAGACCCGAAACCCGGUGAUCUAGCCAUGGGCAGGUUGAAGGUUGGGUAACACUAACUGGAGGACCGAACCGACUAAUGUUGAAAAAUUAGCGGAUGACUUGUGGCUGGGGGUGAAAGGCCAAUCAAACCGGGAGAUAGCUGGUUCUCCCCGAAAGCUAUUUAGGUAGCGCCUCGUGAAUUCAUCUUCGGGGGUAGAGCACUGUUUCGGCUAGGGGGUCAUCCCGACUUACCAACCCGAUGCAAACUACGAAUACCGAAGAAUGUUAUCACGGGAGACACACGGCGGGUGCUAACGUCCGUCGUGAAGAGGGAAACAACCCAGACCGCCAGCUAAGGUCCCAAAGUCAUGGUUAAGUGGGAAACGAUGUGGGAAGGCACAGACAGCCAGGAUGUUGGCUUAGAAGCAGCCAUCAUUUAAAGAAAGCGUAAUAGCUCACUGGUCGAGUCGGCCUGCGCGGAAGAUGUAACGGGGCUAAACCAUGCACCGAAGCUGCGGCAGCGACACUAUGUGUUGUUGGGUAGGGGAGCGUUCUGUAAGCCUGCGAAGGUGGCCUGUGAGGGCUGCUGGAGGUAUCAGAAGUGCGAAUGCUGACAUAAGUAACGAUAAAGCGGGUGAAAAGCCCGCUCGCCGGAAGACCAAGGGUUCCUGUCCAACGUUAAUCGGGGCAGGGUGAGUCGACCCCUAAGGCGAGGCCGAAAGGCGUAGUCGAUGGGAAACAGGUUAAUAUUCCUGUACUUGGUGUUACUGCGAAGGGGGGACGGAGAAGGCUAUGUUAGCCGGGCGACGGUUGUCCCGGUUUAAGCAUGUAGGCGGAGGUUCCAGGUAAAUCCGGUACCUUUUAACGCUGAGGUGUGAUGACGAGGCACUACGGUGCUGAAGUAACAAAUGCCCUGCUUCCAGGAAAAGCCUCUAAGCAUCAGGUAACAUUAAAUCGUACCCCAAACCGACACAGGUGGUCAGGUAGAGAAUACCAAGGCGCUUGAGAGAACUCGGGUGAAGGAACUAGGCAAAAUGGUGCCGUAACUUCGGGAGAAGGCACGCUGGUGUGUAGGUGAAGUCCCUGCGGAUGGAGCUGAGACCAGUCGAAGAUACCAGCUGGCUGCAACUGUUUAUUAAAAACACAGCACUGUGCAAACACGAAAGUGGACGUAUACGGUGUGACGCCUGCCCGGUGCCGGAAGGUUAAUUGAUGGGGUUAUCCGUAAGGAGAAGCUCUUGAUCGAAGCCCCGGUAAACGGCGGCCGUAACUAUAACGGUCCUAAGGUAGCGAAAUUCCUUGUCGGGUAAGUUCCGACCUGCACGAAUGGCGUAAUGAUGGCCAGGCUGUCUCCACCCGAGACUCAGUGAAAUUGAACUCGCUGUGAAGAUGCAGUGUACCCGCGGCAAGACGGAAAGACCCCGUGAACCUUUACUAUAGCUUGACACUGAACAUUGAGCCUUGAUGUGUAGGAUAGGUGGGAGGCUUUGAAGCGUGGACGCCAGUCUGCGUGGAGCCAACCUUGAAAUACCACCCUUUAAUGUUUGAUGUUCUAACGUAGGCCCCUAAUCGGGGUUGCGGACAGUGUCUGGUGGGUAGUUUGACUGGGGCGGUCUCCUCCCAAAGAGUAACGGAGGAGCACGAAGGUUAGCUAAUCCUGGUCGGACAUCAGGAGGUUAGUGCAAUGGCAUAAGCUAGCUUGACUGCGAGCGUGACGGCGCGAGCAGGUGCGAAAGCAGGUCAUAGUGAUCCGGUGGUUCUGAAUGGAAGGGCCAUCGCUCAACGGAUAAAAGGUACUCCGGGGAUAACAGGCUGAUACCGCCCAAGAGUUCAUAUCGACGGCGGUGUUUGGCACCUCGAUGUCGGCUCAUCACAUCCUGGGGCUGAAGUAGGUCCCAAGGGUAUGGCUGUUCGCCAUUUAAAGUGGUACGCGAGCUGGGUUUAGAACGUCGUGAGACAGUUCGGUCCCUAUCUGCCGUGGGCGCUGGAGAAUUGAGGGGGGCUGCUCCUAGUACGAGAGGACCGGAGUGGACGCAUCACUGGUGUUCGGGUUGUCAUGCCAAUGGCACUGCCCGGUAGCUAAAUGCGGAAGAGAUAAGUGCUGAAAGCAUCUAAGCACGAAACUUGCCCCGAGAUGAGUUCUCCCUGAGACUUUAAGUCUCCUGAAGGAACGUUGAAGACGACGACGUUGAUAGGCCGGGUGUGUAAGCGCAGCGAUGCGUUGAGCUAACCGGUACUAAUGAACCGUGAGGCUUAACCUU